UACGUAGGGGGCGAGCGUUGUCCGGAAUCAUUGGGCGUAAAGAGCGUGUAGGCGGCUUGGCAAGUCUGACGUGAAAUCCCGCGGCUCAACCGCGGUAGGUCGUUGGAAACUGCCUCGCUAGAGUCCGGAAGAGGAGAGCGGAAUUCCUGGUGUAGCGGUGGAAUGCGCAGAUAUCAGGAGGAACACCAAUGGCGAAGGCAGCUCGCUGGGACGGUACUGACGCUGAGGCGCGAAAGCGUGGGGAGCGAACAGG
rnacentral:rRNA from 1 species